GUGUAUUCUGGAAUAUUUUUGUUUACAGGUACCCGGAAUGGAUUACUGUGAUUUACCCUGAAGACAAGGUCGGGUAAUUUACAGAACUAAGAUAGAACCUGUCACACUGCCAUCGGCGUGUGUUUGAAGAGACAAUCAGUGCAAGACGAGUCUUUACCUAUCUACAGACUUACAGUAAAACCCACAGGGAUCUAUACAUAUCACAACAACGAGUAUCGUGACUUAUAACGUCAACAUGUCUUGUGGAAUAUUUCUGAAAUUUGGGACUUGUAAGUUAUUUAAUGGAUAAAAUGGAAACCGAAAAAUAAGAAAACACUUGAGACGGUUAAACCUGUGAAACAUUUAUUUAAUUGAACACAAUAAGGAGGGAUAGUGUGCUUUAUUUCACCGACUGAUUUGUGACACGACCAAUCAUCAUGUCGAAGAAAGUAAUGGGAACAAAGAUAACAGACUUCAAUAAGUCUAGUUUUGAUUCCAAAUCUGGACUUUACAAGGCAAAGCCCUACAACAGUACAACAAUAGGCGGUUAUAAGCCAAGGCCAUAUGCUCCAAAGAACACUGAAUACAAACUGAAAGAGUACAAGCCAAAAACAACGGGAUACAAAGGCAGUAAGCCUUACCAGGCUCACAGUUAUAACCACGUAUAUGAGUAUAAUCCCUGACUAUAAUCCAAACUUAGAGCGGCCAAAGAGGGUCCCAAAGACUGUCCCCAAGGUCGUUGUUACCCCGAGUCCAGCUCCCCCACAUGAUAAAAGACCCACAUCUACAGAAUCUAUCAAAACUUGGCCAGCACGGUUCAACGCACUAGGAAGCGUCAAACGUCAAAUUAAUCUGACAUUUAAAUCAGCAUCGCGUGUUGCUCCAGCACCGUUUGUAGAACCUAUCCCGGUGUUUGAGAAAACAACGGAAUUCACGUGAGAGGUGGAACCUUAUCUCAGCCAGUCUGGACAAGUAGUUGUACAUUUACAUAACAUAGGCUAUUGGAGAACGUUAUGGUGCUCAUUUGUUAUAACAUUCCUCGGGUAUUUUCUUCUUUUUCCCCAAAUAGUUUGUUCUUUUCAUGUAUACACGUCACCCAUUAAAUGAUCAUACUUUAUGUGACUGAC